GAUGAACGCUGGCGGCGUGCUUAACACAUGCAAGUCGAACGGAAAGGCUCCUGCUUGCAGGGGUACUCGAGUGGCGAACGGGUGAGUAACACGUGGGUGAUCUGCCCUGCACUUCGGGAUAAGCCUGGGAAACUGGGGCUAAUACCGGAUAGGACCACAUUUUGCAUGGUGUGGUGGGGAGUUUUUCGGGGUGGGAGGAGCUCGCGGCCUAUCAGCAUGUUGGUGGGGUAAUGGCGUACCACCGCGUCGACGGGGGGUGGGCGUGAGAGGGGGUACGCCGACACUGUGGGUGUGAGACGGCCCACAGUCCUACGGGGGGGAGCAGUGGGGAAAAUUGUACAAUGGGGGCGAGCGUGAGGCAGAGAAGCGGCGUGGGGGAGGACGGCCCUUGGGGUGUAAACUCCUUUUGCGAGUGACGAGGCGCUUUUGUGACGGUAACUGGUGAAGAAGCACCGGCUAACUACGUG
rnacentral:rRNA from 1 species